rnacentral:rRNA from 1 species
UACAGAGGGUGCGAGCGUUAAUCGGAAUUACUGGGCGUAAAGCGUGCGUAGACGGCUAUCUAAGUCGGGUGUGAAAGCCCCGGGCUCAACCUGGGAAUUGCAUUCGAGACUGAAUAGCUAGGGUGCGGUAGAGGGAAGCGGAAUUUCCGGUGUAGCGGUGAAAUGCGUAGAUAUCGGAAGGAACAUCAGUGGCGAAAGCGGCUUCCUGGACCAGCACCGAACGUUCA